UACGGGGGGGGCAAGCGUUGUUCGGAAUUACUGGGCGUAAAGGGCUCGUAGGUGGCCAACUAAGUCAGACGUGAAAUCCCUCGGCUUAACCGGGGAACUGCGUCUGAUACUGGAUGGCUUGAGGUUGGGAGAGGGAUGGCGGAAUUCCAGGUGUAGCGGUGAAAUGCGUAGAAUAUCUGGAGGAACACCGGUGGCGAAGGCGGCA
rnacentral:rRNA from 1 species